rnacentral:rRNA from 1 species
CAGCCGCCGCGGUAAUACGUAGGGUGCGAGCGUUAAUCGGAUCUACUGGGCGUAAAGCGUGCGCAGGCGGCCCGUUAAGACAGGUGUGAAAUCCCUGGGCUCAACCUAGGAAUUGCGCUUGUGACUGGCGGGCUCGAGUACGGUAGAGGGGGGUGGAAUUCCUGGUGUAGCAGUGAAAUGCGUAGAGAUCAGGAGGAACACCGAUGGCGAAGGCAGCCCCCUGGGCCUGUACUGACGCUCAUGCACGAAAGCGUGGGGAGCAAACAGGAUUAGAUACCCGCGUAGUCCCUGUCUCUUAUAC